rnacentral:rRNA from 1 species
CUGGUUGAUCCUGCCAGAGGUUACUGCUAUCGAGGUUCGACUAAGCCAUGCGAGUCGAAUGUAGCAAUACAUGGCGUACUGCUCAGUAACACGUGGACAACCUGCCCUUAGGUCGGGUAUAAACCCGGGAAACUGGGUAUAAUCCCCGAUAGGUCUCGGCUGCUGGAAUGCAUCGAGAUUUAAAGCUCCGGCGCCUAAGGAUGGGUCUGCGGCCUAUCAGGUAGUAGUGGGUGUAGCGUACCUACUAGCCUACGACGGGUACGGGUUGUGAGAGCAAGAGCCCGGAGAUGGAUUCUGAGACACGAAUCCAGGCCCUACGGGGUGCAGCAGGCGCGAAAACUUUACAAUGCUGGCAACAGCGAUAAGGGAACCUCGAGUGCCAGGUUACAAAUCUGGCUGUCGAGAUGCCUAAAAAGCAUUUCAUAGCAAGGGCCGGGCAAGACCGGUGCCAGCCGCCGCGGUAACACCGGCGGCUCGAGUGGUAACCGUUAUUAUUGGGUCUAAAGGGUCUGUAGCCGGCCGGAUAAGUCUCUUGAGAAAUCUGGCAGCUUAACUGUCAGGCUUUCAGGAGAUACUGUCUGGCUCGAGGCCGGGAGAGGUGAGAGGUACUUCAGGGGUAGGGGUGAAAUCUUGUAAUCCUUGAAGGACCACCAGUGGCGAAGGCGUCUCACCAGAACGGACCUGACGGCAAGGGACGAAAGCUAGGGGCACGAACCGGAUUAGAUACCCGGGUAGUCCUAGCCGUAAACGAUACUCGCUAGGUGUCGGCCACGGUGCGACCGUUGUCGGUGCCGUAGGGAAGCCGUGAAGCGAGCCACCUGGGAAGUACGGCCGCAAGACUGAAACUUAAAGGAAUUGGCGGGGGAGCACCAC